UCUAGGUCAGAAAUUAUUUUUAAAAGCACUUAAAAGCAGCAAUUCUUAAGAUAGUUGUAUAUUAGAAUCACUGACUAAAAUGCUUUGAAUCUAUGUUAUAGUUAGCUAAAUAAUCUGUUAAAUCACCAAAGGGAGAUACACAGACCAAGAUUUUUUAAGCAAGCAAGAAAGAUGAUGUGGAGUUAAAAACUGCCGUAUCAGUUACACAACCAAGUUUACUUAUGCCAGAAAAAAUACACCUGAUUCCAUUUCUCCUCUCUCUCUACCAUGACUCACAAAAAGCUUCGUAUGCUAAACUUUUACGAUGAUAUUAAGAUCCAUAUCACCCUAAAAGAUUAUUAUCUAUAAAGUUUUAUAUCACAACUUAGGGCAAGAAAUAUAUUGUAUAAAAAAUCUGUGUGUUCUACGCUAUUUACCUACAGAUACUAUGCACACAUAUGUACAUAUCAGAAAAAAAAAGUUUCAGGAAAUAAUGCUAACAUUUCUGGGUGAUGGGGUAGUACUUAAGUUUGACCUUAAGAGCCUUGUAUCACUUGAGCCAUGUCUCAACUGCUUAUUCUCACUAUGUGGAAAACACUACAAUACUUCUCAUCCUAGCCUACACUGAUUUACUUCCUUAUGUGUUCAAAUACUGGUCACAACCACAAUUUUAAAAUACUUAUUGAAAUUACUGCAAAUUUUCUAAUACACAGAUGACAAAUGGUGGCUACAGGAUUGCUGAUGAAUUGCUCAGAGAAUAAAGUUAAUACAUUUGUUUUUUUGAACUAGAAUGUAUAACUCAACUCCAAAUCUAUUCUGAUAGUCACUGAAAGAGCCUAACAAGAUGAAAAUCAGGCCACUUCACUAUUAAAUUCCUUAAUGCUUUUCAAAACUCCUCAAUCCUUAGCAGACAUACAACAAUAUUUAUUCAACUGUUUAAUCUUCAUUGUUAUAGUCCUUGCUUCAUAAAGCCCUUCUUAAAGCCCUUGCUGAACUUAAAAUACUGACUCCUGCCUUCAGUAUACUAUUUUCCUGCAUACUAGAGCUGGUACUCUGGAAAAUGAAAUCUUUCACUCUUGAGCUCCCUUACUUGAUCUGUUAAGUCCUGCUCCUCUUUCAGAAAGGUUCUUUCAUGAUCUAGAUGUCAUCUCUCCCAGACUCCAUUUUUUACCUCAAAAUGCAGGACAUUCCUCUGACCCUCUACUCAACUCUGCCUAUAUUCCCAUUCCAUAGUAUCCUAUAUAUUGCUGGUAGAGCUUUACUGUACUGUACAAUAGUUCAUUGUCUUUACCCUUUAUUAGACCAUGAGGUUCUUCACAGCAAGAACAGCAUCUUAUUAUGUCUGCAUAAACUGAAGGGUGAAUAAGUGACUGAGAUUAGUGACUAAAUUACCAAACAUAGACAUAGCACAAGAAAUUUUUGAGGAGGAAGUGAAACAUAACAUAUGGUCUGAAAUGCCUACAAUAAACAGAAGGAAUUAUCCCAAGAGGCAGCUAAAAAUAAUGUUAGAGGAAGAUAGAGAGUUUUAAUAAAUAAAAUGACACAAGCAUACAGACUUGCCAGGGGAACAAGAUACCAAAGGCUGAAACUGCAAUUAAAAAGUGGGGAGAAUGGAGAACUAGAUGAAACAAGAAAGGGUGCAGGGGG